rnacentral:misc_RNA from 1 species
GCUUGAAAUUACCGGUCUCCUGGUGCUUGGCCGUACAGUUGUCCGAAUGCUGCUUCGGAAAGUUCUCGAUGCGCUGAUUUCCGAUGUAGAACGCUAUGCCUUCUGCGAAUUCCUCGUGCCCGAUUCCAUUGAAAUCCCGGUAGCGGCGAAACUCUUGGCAGAUGAUGAUGUCCGCGUUGCGCCGAUUGCCGUUGCCGCGGACUU